rnacentral:rRNA from 1 species
AGCCGGGGUAGCAAAUGGGAUUAGAUACCCCAGUAGUCCCCGGCCGUAAACGAUGGAUACUAGGUGUUGCGGGUAUCGACCCCUGCAGUGCCGAAGCUAACGCGUUAAGUAUCCCGCCUGGGGAGUACGCACGCAAGUGUGAAACUCAAAGGAAUUGACGGGGACCCCGCACAAGCGGUGGAACAUGUGGUUUAAUUCGAAGCAACGCGAAGAACCUUACCAGGGCUUGACAUCUAACAAAUCCUGAUGAAAGUUGGGAGUGCCCUUCGGGGAGUGUUAAGACAGGUGGUGCACGGUUGUCGUCAGCUCGUGUCGUGAGAUGUUGGGUUAAGUCCCGCAACGAGCGCAACCCUCGUCGUCAGUUGGUAUUAGUGGUAUACUGCUAAUAACCUCUCUGGCGAGACUGCCGGUGAUAAACCGGAGGAAGGUGAGGACGACGUCAAAUCAUCAUGCCCCUUAUGCUCUGGGCUACACACGUGUUACAAUGGCCGGUACAACGAGCCGCCAACUCGUGAGAGUGAGCAAAUCUCUAAAAGCCGGUCUCAGUUCGGAUUGGACUCUGCAACUCGAGUCCAUGAAGUCGGAAUCGCUAGUAAAACG